GUAGGGAAUAUUGGGCAAUGGAUGCAAGUCUGACCCAGCCAUCCCGCGUGCCGGAAGAAGGCCCUCAGGGUUGUAAACGGCUUUUGACGGUGAAGAAUCGACAGGAUGCGUCCUGUUUUGACGGUAGCCGUUGAAUAAGCACCGGCUAACUCCGUGCCAGCAGCCGCGGUAAUACGGGGGGUGCGAGCGUUGUCCGGAUUUAUUGGGUUUAAAGGGUGCGUAGGCUGGAAGGUCAGUCAGCGGUGAAAAGCUGUCGCUUAACGAUAGUCUUGCCGCAGAUACUUCCUUUCUUGGAUGAGGAGGAGGCCACUGGAACGGAUGGUGUAGCGGUGAAAUGCAUAGAUAUCAUCCAGAACACCGAUUGCGAAGGCAGGUGGCUGUACCUUAAUCGACGCUGAUGCACGAAAGCAUGGGGAGCAAACAGGAUUAGAUACCCCGGUAGUCC
rnacentral:rRNA from 1 species